UGAUCAGAGAAAUCCCAUACUACAAUGAGGACAGGAGGCUGAGAUCUGAUGCUUUUCCGAGCUCUUAUCCUCUUGUGUUUUUAUAGGAUCAUCCCUUUAUGUUGGAAGGGACAUCAGCUGCUGUACUAUACAAGGGAUCUCAGCUAUUUCCAGAAAGUAGAAGGCUCACCAGUUCUUCAAAUAAGACUUCUGGCAAAGGUGUCUGCAAUCCACAGCUCAAUCCAGCCUUGAGUAAAUCCAAGACUUCAGGAAAGGGCUCCUGGAAUCCACAGCUUAAUGCAGCCUUGAGUAAAUCCAAAUAAGACUUCAGGCAAAGGCCUCUGGAAUCCACAACUCAACCCAGCCUUGAGAAAACACAUUAGUUAUGGUUUAGUUAUGUUUAGGGCACAGAGUGCAGUUUCUGCCCAUGUUGGGAAACACCAGCUUACCCAAUGUUAUAUACCCUUUUAUCUACUGCUGGUGCAGACAAUAUGCACCCUAUAUUCACAGUAUCAUCUCUUUGUUAAUAUUUAUUUUCAACAAAAACUAUGGAAUCUCUUCUGUAUAGUGCAACUCUGUUCCUUGAGGCAAGAUGACAACCAAGAGUGGUUUAUGAGAAUAUGUUAUGAUUACUCUCACUUCCCUGGAUUUCAGAAAGUUAUGAUUACAUCAAAGCAUUUUUCCAAAGCUCAUCUAUUUUUGUUUUUCAUCUUCUUUUAUUGAUGAUGGAUAUUUGUAAUGAUUAUUCCUGGUUGUUUCCUAUUUGUGGACUGUUCCAUGUCUGUGGAGGAUUAUACCUCCAUGUUCUCAUUUUGUAAUUCACGCCUGAUUUUAUGCAACCGCUAAUGCUGACUCUCAGCCCUUCAUUCAGAGAUGUGAAGAUUGUGACGCGUUGUUCCUGAAGUGACUAUGCACAGGAUAAAAACACUCCCCUUUCAUCAGCUUUAGGUUUGCAACUCUCAGUUUCUCAGACCCUAUUUCUUGUAUUAUAAAAGCCCAACUCACACAGUGCAUAGUUCACCUUCUGUGAUUUGAUCACUUUAUAUAUCCAUAUCCCACAUUCUUUUAUUAUUCAAUUUUAUAAAGCCAGACAGUGAAAUCCUGACCUGAUUGAACUUGGUGGGAUAUUUGACAUUGCCUUCAACAGAACUAUAAUUUCACCUAAAAUCUUUGCAGCCUUUGAAUAAAUUGAAUUUUUGUUGU